rnacentral:snRNA from 1 species
AAGUGUUACAGCUCUUUUAAAAUUUGUACUAGCAGGCUUUCCAAGUUUUUGCCCAGAAAGGCCCUU